CCAAAAAGGAGGUCAUCAUGCCCUCCCUGACUUCUCAGGAAGACUAGGGGUGAAGCUGAGGAAGAUUGGUAUGGAAAAUAAACAAACAAAAAAAGAUCGACCCCAAAUCAUCUUUGUUCUGGGCUUCAUUCAGACAUGACAGCAUCUGACAACGGGAUGAGCAAAUCGAUUCCUCAUUGCUGAGAAAGUAAGCCUAAUUCUGACAAGGAUAAUGAGAGAACUCUUAACUGUCAAAAAGAAGUAAUUGGGAGUCAGUGAUAAUUUUUCAAGUCUGGAAUGCAGAACACCUGAACAGAAAAUAAAUGAGUGGAUGAAAAGAUUUUUUGGCCGGAUGCAUAGUAAAACAUGACUUCAAAACUUCAGCAGUCAAAGAAAUGGAAGAUAUGUAAUUUGAAUCAGAAGUACCUGAGAAGAACUCAAAUCACUGGGGAAAUUUGAAGAAAAUUGUGAAAGACUGAAACCAAAGAAUGACUGACUCCCUAUGCAGAGUAACUGAGGGACAUUGAGGAAGCAAUGAAGCAGGACACUGCAUCCAUUUAUGAUAAGAAAUGCAUGAUGCUGGAAAUGCUUCAAAACAGUCAUGUGGAUUUUCUUGUUUGGCCUAAUCACCUGGUUAAGUUAGAGGGCAGUGUAGAACAACGGGGCUUUAAUUAAAAACUUUCUGAUAGCCCAGAAGCACCUGAACAGUGAUUCCCUUGAUGCAGUGGAAGAUUAAUGGAGGAAGAGAAUAGCAUUUCUCAGAAGCCUGGUACCCACCAUCUAUCCCAUGCUAUCUCAAGACAAAGACUGUGAACAGAGCUUCUCAUGGGUUCAUGGCUCUUUGGAAGGCUCUAUGCUGGCCACCUUCAUGGUUGCUUUAAGUACGUACUCUGACAGACUCAUGCAUGCCUGGACCAUGAAGAAUAGCACACAACAUGGCCUCAAUUUGAAAGCUGCCCUUCCUUCAGGACUGGCCACUCUGUCCCCAGGGCCCCUUCCUGGACUUCCCCAUCUCCAAGCUUGAGUUCUCCAACAUCUUUCAAACAAGAGCCCUCAUCUUAAAGCUUAUGUUUUAUUAAAAUAUUGGUCUCAAAGGCUUCUGCUUAUUGAUGGCGUGCAUUAUAUUAAAUAGAGUUCAGAACUCAGAAUCCACA